ensembl:lncRNA
GUGAACCAGAUCGCCCUUCCCAGUGUGUGUCUGCAUCCCCUCACCUGUUGGGCCCUGAAGGGAAAGAAAGGGCAGAGAGGGAGCGACCUGCUGCCUCUUCUCCUAACUUCCUGCUGGCCGGAUCACCUGCCUUCCCCUUUCUCCUCUUCCUGCCGGUGGACUGAGAUUGUCACCGCCUGCUCCCCCUUCGCAGAGUGCACCGCCGACUUCCUGUGUCCCUGGCUUGCACAUGGCCCAUUGUGGGACUUGAUGUUAUCUCAGGUAUUUGCUGUAGUGAUGGGAAGCUCGCUAGCACACAGCCCCAUUUGCUGCCCCCUCGGAAGUCCAGCUGGACUCUGGAGCAUGAGCAGCAGCAGUGGAGGUGAGCAGCAAGGCCUGGGCUGCUCGUGCCAACUGGGGGCCGUGACCAUCGGGUGUGGGUUUUCUUGCGUGUUCCCCACGGCCACCUUGUUUCCUAGGUGCUGUUGUAGGGGUGGCCCUCGCCUCGCCUGGCAGCCCCCGGCGGAAGGGGACCAAUUGCAGUCGCACGGGAGAUUAGAAGUAGCCACAGAUUCUUUGCCACUGGGGCUGCUCUGUCAGGACACAUGGGUGGAGGUGAUGCUGACCCUGUUUCCAGCCCAGGCGCCACCUCCUGUCCCCUGGGCAUCCGCCAGGAGCCCAGUGGACCUGUGAGGUUCAGAGCCCUGUGGAUGUGGCACUCUGCAAGCCGCAGCAGAGUCUGGGUGUCCCCAGAAGGUGGUGGAAGUGUGAGGGAAGCUUCUGGAAUGCUCUGGCCAGUCAGGCUGUGGGGAGGCCCCAGGCAGCAUUAGGAGGGCCCCACGCAGGGCCUGAGGCUUGGGGGAGCAGAGGCCCAGCCCGCCUCCAGCCCCCCAGGAUGGGUGGGACCUCAGGAUCUGCUCUGCUGAGCUGAGGUGCCUCCUCCAGGGCCUCGGGGGAUGGUCAGGUCCCUCGGCUGUGUGCAGGGUGUCACACUUCGGUCCUUGCCCACAGAGACGGAUUUGCAUGCGUUAAACUUGCCCACACUUAACUAACUCUCCCAUUUCUCGCAGGCCAAAUGCCUUGCUGAGCUCCCAGUUUGCACCAUGUGUGGGCAUCUUUACCCUUCCUUCAUUAUCAUUGUGGAUAUAAAGAUCAGGGUGGGGGUUGGCAGGUUCAGUAACCAUGGUCUAUUAUUGGUUUUUCUAAAAAAAUUAGUUGCCUUGAUAGCUUGAGUUGAUUUAGAUGGACUGGCCUCAGAUUUAAAAAACUCAUGUGGCCAUUAUUUGUAUCAUUAUUCUUUGUUUCUGUCACUAAUAUUCUUUUUUUUUUUUUUGGUAUGAGGGAUCAAACUCAGGACCUUGCACUUAUGAGGCAGGCACAGUGCCACUGAGCUAAAUCCCAG